GGGUACACUCAUACUAGCACUAAAGUAUUAGAUCCUAUCAGAACUCUAAAGUUAAGUGUUCUUGGGUAAGAGUAGUACUAUGAUGAGUGACCACUUGGGAAGUCCUCGUGUUGCACUCU
rnacentral:rRNA from 1 species